rnacentral:rRNA from 1 species
AAAUUGAAGAGUUUGAUCAUGGCUCAGAUUGAACGCUGGCGGCAGGCCUAACACAUGCAAGUCGAACGGUAACAGGAAGAAGCUUGCUUCUUUGCUGACGAGUGGCGGACGGGUGAGUAAUGUCUGGGAAACUGCCUGAUGGAGGGGGAUAACUACUGGAAACGGUAGCUAAUACCGCAUAACGUCGCAAGACCAAAGAGGGGGACCUUCGGGCCUCUUGCCAUCGGAUGUGCCCAGAUGGGAUUAGCUAGUAGGUGGGGUAACGGCUCACCUAGGCGACGAUCCCUAGCUGGUCUGAGAGGAUGACCAGCCACACUGGAACUGAGACACGGUCCAGACUCCUACGGAGGCAGCAGUGGGGAAUAUUGCACAAUGGGCGCAAGCCUGAUGCAGCCAUGCCGCGUGUAUGAAGAAGGCCUUCGGGUUGUAAAGUACUUUCAGCGGGGAGGAAGGAGUAAAGUUAAUACCUUUGCUCAUUGACGUUACCCGCAGAAGAAGCACCGCUAACUCCGUGCCAGCAGCCGCGGUAAUACGGAGGUGCAAGCGUUAAUCGGAAUUACUGGGCGUAAAGCGCACGCAGGCGGUUUGUUAAGUCAGAUGUGAAAUCCCCGGGCUCAACCUGGGAACUGCAUCUGAUACUGGCAAGCUUGAGUCUCGUAGAGGGGGGUAGAAUUCCAGGUGUAGCGGUGAAAUGCGUAGAGAUCUGGAGGAAUACCGGUGGCGAAGGCGGCCCCCUGGACGAAGACUGACGCUCAGGUGCGAAAGCGUGGGGAGCAAACAGGAUUAGAUACCCUGGUAGUCCACGCCGUAAACGAUGUCGACUUGGAGGUUGUGCCCUUGAGGCGUGGCUUCCGGAGCUAACGCGUUAAGUCGACCGCACGGGAGUACGGCCGCAAGGUUAAAACUCAAAUGAAUUGACGGGGGCCCGCACAAGCGGUGGAGCAUGUGGUUUAAUUCGAUGCAACGCGAAGAACCUUACCUGGUCUUGACAUCCACGGAAGUUUUCAGAGAUGAGAAUGUGCCUUCGGGAACCGUGAGACAGGUGCUGCAUGGCUGUCGUCAGCUCGUGUUGUGAAAUGUUGGGUUAAGUCCCGCAACGAGCGCAACCCUUAUCCUUUGUUGCCAGCGGUCCGGCCGGGAACUCAAAGGAGACUGCCAGUGAUAAACUGGAGGAAGGUGGGGAUGACGUCAAGUCAUCAUGGCCCUUACGACCAGGGCUACACACGUGCUACAAUGGCGCAUACAAAGAGAAGCGACCUCGCGAGAGCAAGCGGACCUCAUAAAGUGCGUCGUAGUCCGGAUUGGAGUCUGCAACUCGACUCCAUGAAGUCGGAAUCGCUAGUAAUCGUGGAUCAGAAUGCCACGGUGAAUACGUUCCCGGGCCUUGUACACACCGCCCGUCACACCAUGGGAGUGGGUUGCAAAAGAAGUAGGUAGCUUAACCUUCGGGAGGGCGCUUACCACUUUGUGAUUCAUGACUGGGGUGAAGUCGUAACAAGGUAACCGUAGGGGAACCUGCGGUUGGAUCACCUCCUUACCUUAAAGAAGC